rnacentral:lncRNA from 1 species
ACGCUGUGGAAGCAGCAACCGGUCUGUUGGAAAGUUCCUGCAUAAGUUGUCGGAUCCUCAAAAAAAAGCUUUUCUGGGGACGCGCUGUUCAAGUCGAGUUUCCUUAUUGUCCCUUCCAAGACAUCCCUUCUAACUUCCCUAUUUCCAAAGGAAGAAAGAAAGGUCGAAAGCUCUCUUUCGAGAGCCUCUUUUGUUGGGCUCGGCGGCCCCAAUCGCAAGGCUAGAUCCAGAUCCCCCAUAGCCUGUUCAGCA